rnacentral:tRNA from 1 species
GGAGGAGUGCCGGAGCGGUCGAACGGGACGGUCUCGAAAACCGUUGUGGGGGGAACCCCACCCAGGGUUCGAAUCCCUGCUCCUCCGCCA